CAUAUUCUUUUCAUUAUGGUUUAUCACAGGAUAUUGAACAUAGUUCCCUGUGUUAUACAGUAGAACUUUGUUGUUUAUCCAUCUAUAUAUACUAGUUUGCCUCUAAACACUAAGGGAUGUCCUAUUAUUUUUAUGACCAAGACUCAAUUUCUUUCCCUACAGCAUGAAGCAAGUUAGGUUGCUGUGAGAACACUAAAGUUCUUUUUAGAGCUAACAUUCUGUGAACCUGGUCAACUUUGAAUUCCGUAUUCAGAAAGCAUGCUGCCAUUCUAGUUUGUAUUCAGAAGAGGGGAAUGAAAAAAGAAUGCAUGAUUUAAAGGAACUAAGGUGCCUCCCUCUGACAUUGUCAGCCCAUUGGCUCUGGUUCGGUUCAGAUGUCGCUUGAUGUAUAGCCAAGACAAUAUCAGAACUCUAUGAAAGAAAAUGCAGAUUUUCCAAGGAUGGUUGCUGCCUGCCCCAGUUAUUUCCAAAUCUAUUAUAAGAAGAGAAAUAAAGCAUGAAAAUAGGCAACUUCUCCAGCAGUUCUCAAACAGAAAAAUGUGGAUGCUUGAGAAAGGCCCCAGGCUCUUUUUUGCUCCACAGAUUAAAUUCUGCAAAUUAAUGCUGCGCCAACACAAUGCGGGGGAGCUGGUGGCAUGGAGGCUUAAGGGCCAUGCCAGCAGCAUUCCUAUAAUCUGCUGCCAAGAGAUCUGUACCAGAAGAUCUUCUAGCCCUGGGCAGUUUGAGAACUCAAAUUCUGCCUAACUGGCAGUAAGGACUCCAAUGGAGAUGGACUAAGCUACAACAACUCAAAAAGUAACCCUCUGUGGCCUUGUCUGCUCUGGACAAGUACAUUGUGCUCUCCUACAUGGUCCACAGAGUUCAAAAUGCCUGGCCUGCCCACCUCUGUUUGAUCCAGGACACACACUCUCACGAAAGCCCUCAAAGAAGUGAGAUGGCAGAUUUCCCAACAAGCUGAAGAAUAGCCUCCAAAAGGCUGUAAUAUUACAUUGAUACCCACUGGCUUUAGUGAAAUUAACUAGAAGCAUGUGCAUUCAUAUGAAGGAAAAGAAGAGAAUGCAUAUUCUAUUCACAAUUUCACAUAUCUAGAGGUGGUUUCAGACAAUUCACAAAGG